GUCUAAAAGCUACAGCUUCUGGGAGCAAGUAGGCUUGUGGCAGUCAAGCACAGCCUUAGCUUGUUUGCAUUAGCAGCCAUCAGCUGUGAGGUGAUGGCUUAAGGAAAUGGAUAGGUACUGAGACUCGGGUUAUAAAGAAGCAUAUGGUGCUUUGCAGCUAUGGGUAUGUCCUGUAUUUCUCUUCUUUCUUGCUUAGUUCUGCUCAGCUAUUCAAGCAGCUGUCCCCUGCCUCAGUUUCCCUGUGUUACACAGAUUAUCUGUUGUUGUGCUGGGGCACUCGGACCUUCCAGAAGUGUCUGUGAUUCUUCAUAGCAUGCACUCAAAGGCAACUGUCCAGGAAAGGCUCCACAGUCUGCAGCAGCCCAGGGGAGAGACUGAAAUCUUCAAGUGGAAAUAAAUCAGAAGCCCAAAUAAAUCUCCUGCUCCAGAAACUCGUCUACUGGGUAUACAACACCAGCUGUAUGAAUGCAGUUUGCAUGUGGGAAACACAGCAAUGGCAGGGCUUUCAUUUUGGACUGCAAAGAACACCAGGUGCCCAAAGCACUGCUUUCUGCAGAGACAGGCAAGUGUCCAGACUCAGCAUGAAGGUGCUCUGCUCAUUCCUGUGUGACCCAAACAUGUUCCUAAACCAGACUGAGGCUCCCAGGAGCCCCCACCAUUAGGUUUGUGUCAGAUGAAUCCUAUUUGGGCAGAGCUUUGCUCUCAGGACCACCACCACCCCCUCCAGAUCUCAUGGGGGAGACCUCAGUGCAAUCACAGUGGCUCAGACAUACCCUGUCCCUGUGCUCUUGUGGCAUUGCAUCUGUUCAGCACUGGGAAUUGCCAACCCAAUCUACAAAGGUACCCAACAUCAGUUGUUCUCAAUAAUGCAUUUGGCUUUGGCCAAGAAAUUGCAGAUUUGUACAUGUAAUGUAGAGGUUGUAUGUGUAACGUAGAGGUUCUUGUUGUUCACCUGCGUAUCAAAAUCCACCCUCUGCCGCAUCAGGAUUUAAUUAUGAAACACUGCUGGGCCCGUCUCCAUUACAAUGUAAUUAAAAAAGCUUUGGGAUAUUGGAUAUGGAGCUGAUGGGGUUCAUUUUUGCCAGAAUGGAUAAAAUUCCUCCCAACGAGGCAGUUCUUCUCACCCAACCGAGCUGCUUUCUACUUACAAGGAGCUCUGAAUGCCUUCAAAACAGAAGGGCCUGACCCCAAGCUGGCUGAAAUCAAGGGAGAGACUCAGAGCUCGGAUGCUGGAGCCAAAAACCUCUUUUCAUUGGGAUUACAGAAUGAACUAUCGCACUGUUUAAGUUUCCCCUUUGACUGCGUAUGUUUUCUGGCUAAUACAGUUAGUCGGGAAUUGGCAUCAAACGUUUCUCGACACCUGCUUCAUGUCCUUCCAUGGUGGAGUUGUGGACAGGAUCACUGGAGCUAAAUCCUCCACUUGUGCCUUGGCUACACAGGCUGAACAUUCUGGGUUGGUUUUUAGCCUGCCUGGAGCCCAGUGCCUCGUGCUGGACGGCAACACAAAGACAUCCAGCCCGCAGUUCAAGUGGUGGAUAAUCCAUUGCUUUCCUUGCUCGUUUACUCCAUUGGUUAGUCACCCUCUUCAUUUAGGCUCCGUGCUUUAUUUUUAACUGAUGUGAGUGCCGAAAGCUCUGUUUUCUUUUUCCCACUGCAUGCCACCACGUUCCCCUACAGAGAUGAAAGCCGGCGACGUUUCCACGUUAUCCAGGUCACUGCCUACCAUCCACGGGAUGCAGUUGUUUCUCUGAGAUGCAUUUUUCUCUUCAUCUGCCUAAUAGUUCAGCAACCAUCACAAAUGCUCCUAAAGUGGAAGCGUUCGCCUGCUUACUCUUUUCAGAUGUCAACUUGGCAAGACAAAAUCCCAAUAUUUCCUGCGUGGGCUUGGCUGGAUUGAAUCACGGAGUGGUGCAAUGAAACAAACACGUCUCGCACAAUGCAAAGCAAG
ensembl:lncRNA